CAAUAGCGUAUAUUAAAGUUGUUGCAGUUAAAAAGCUCGUAGUUGGAUUUGUUGCGUACGGUGUGUUCCGGGCACUUGUUGUCUGAGUAACCUGCUGUUGCCAUCCUUGGGUGGAACCUGUGUGGCAUUAGGUUGUCGUGCAGGGGAUGCCCAUCAUUUACUGUGAAAAAAUUAGAGUGUUCAAAGCAGGCUUAUGCCGUUGAAUAUAUUAGCAUGGAAUAAUGAGAUAGGACUUUUUUGCUAUUUUGUUGGUUUGCGCAAAGAGGUAAUGAUUAAUAGGGACAGUUGGGGGUAUUCGUAUUCCAUUGUCAGAGGUGAAAUUCUUGGAUUUUUGGAAGACGAACUACUGCGAAAGCAUUUACCAAGGAUGUUUUCAUUAA
rnacentral:rRNA from 1 species